UAUAAUGUAUCUAAUGUUUCUUCAUUCUUUACUGGACCCUCAAAUUUAUACUUUAAGAAUUCUCUUGAUAUUUGCCUUAAGACCUGGUUUUAAAAGCCGUCAUCAGUUUUAUUUAGUUACUUUCUUUUAAAAUAGGCAGUUCUCUUAUAUAAAUGUUUACAUUAAUUCUAUCACAUAAUUUCUCUCAAGAGAAUUUUGUGUGAGUCUAAAUGACAGUAAAAUUUUAUUUUCAUAAUAUCUCUGAACAACUAGUUUUAGCUACUAAAUCGAUUAUUUAAUUGUUAAGACUGUAGUCAUAUGCAGUUAUAAAUAAAUCAUUAUUCAUAGUAGAUUUCUGUGUCAAUUCAGUUCCAAGCAUUAACUUACCUUUCACUUAUUCUCUCAGGAAAGACUAAUUAAAAGCCUUCUUCUAUAGAGCUCAGAGACUAUGCUACAGAAGUUGAAAUGCAUGAGGGCUAAUAUCCUCAAAUGCCCAGUUGUGAAAUGGAUGGAGCCAGGAAAGGAGUUGUGUUUGGAGAGAAUAUGUGAAUGCAUUUAGUCUGCAUCAUAUUUUGAAUGCCCAGCUAUAGAAGUUGUCUUUCAUUCCAUGAUUGGUGAGUUUAACUAUGACUUGUGGAUUUUCUAAAGUGCCACAUAUAGCCCAACAGGAUAAAUUUCCUGGUCGGGGACGUGGUGGCCGUGGUGGAUUCAUGUUUCGUGCCCAUUCAGCCUAUGUUCAAAUAAUGCUCAAGAAAUUAACAUGAGUUUUUACCACAUAGUGCUUAAUAUUUUUUUGUGUGUGCAAUUUUUACACUGUAAGUCAGAAAUUUACAAAUGUCAAGAUCAGUGACAGAAAUCAUAGACUGGGCAUGUUUGACUGAUUGGAAAAGAAUGUUCCCUGAGUUGAUACUGUUUGAUGUCACAUACUUGGUUUUCUAUCUCAAAAGUUGUCCGCAUUUGCCUGGAUUUAAGAAUGUCAUUCAAUGAUUUGUAAAUAUAUAAUAUCCUGGACUUUUUGUUGCUUCAUUGUAAAAUGGAUGUAUUUAUAAAGGAGGUCUGGAAGCUGUUUGUUUUAUUAUGUGAAGGCGGAACUCUUCUACAGGUCCUGGACCUAUCACUAAACAGCAAUGAACACAGUGUUUGUUCUAUUCUGUUCUGAUGCACUCUUAGGCAGAACGCUUUCCAAGUUGUUGCUGUGGAUGGAGUCUGCAGUGGAAUUCUUCAGUGCCUCUCUGCUGAAGACUGCAUGGAUUGGCUCCAAGCAAUAGCAACUAACAUUUCAAACCUCACAAAGCACAAU
rnacentral:sRNA from 1 species